rnacentral:lncRNA from 1 species
GCCUGUUGCGUUAAAUAUCUAUAUCCACUACAGAGACUAAAGAGAGUUGGUACCUUCUUCAUCAAAAGGAAGAGUUGCAUGUUUGACGAUGAUAUCUUUGGGAAUAGACACCACUACUCUGAGUGAUCAGAAUACGCCUUAGGCCUCGAGGGUGAGAAGUGCAAGCUUUGUCACGUCUCCUCUGCGUGUAUGCUUAGCUGGUCCAAAGUUCUGAAUUUAGCUUCUAGAUGGAUUUCUUUAGCAAAUGUCAGUUUUGUUUCUAGUUAGUGUUUGAAGAGAUCUCUAUAGUAAUUUAGUUUUUUCUUAAUUGGUGGUGUUUGUCCUGCAAAACAUCCUGGCGAAAAUAGUAUUUGCCUACUUGUUGGGCUUCCCUAAAUUUCCUAGGGUGGGUUAGAUUAAUUAUAGUUGGAUUUUUAAGUUAAACCUUUAGUUCAAUCUUGAGUCUUGAUUUCUA